UACAGGGGGGGCAAGCGUUGUUCGGAAUUACUGGGCGUAAAGGGCUCGUAGGUGGCCAACUAAGUCAGACGUGAAAUCCCUCAGCUUAACUGGGGAACUGCGUCUGAUACUGGACGGCUUGAGUUUGGGAGAGGGAUGCGGAAUUCCAGGUGUAGCGGUGAAAUGCGUAGAUAUCUGGAGGAACACCGGUGGCGAAGGCGGCAUCCUGGACCAACACUGACACUGAGGAGCGAAAGCCAGGGGAGCAAACGGG
rnacentral:rRNA from 1 species